CCUGUCCUUAGUUGCCAGCACGUAAAGGUGGGAACUCUAAGGAGACUGCCGGUGACAAACCGGAGGAAGGUGGGGAUGACGUCAAGUCAUCAUGGCCCUUACGACCAGGGCUACACACGUACUACAAUGGUGGGGACAGAGGGUCGCGAUGCCGCGAGGCGGAGCCAAUCCCAGAAACCCUAUCUUAGUCCGGAUCGCAGUCUGCAACUCGACUGCGUGAAGUCGGAAUCGCUAGUAAU
rnacentral:rRNA from 1 species